rnacentral:lncRNA from 1 species
UAGCACUUCUAGUCAUGUUGCUGUUGUUUGUUUUACUAUUUCUUCAGCGAGCAUGCGCUUUAAUAAACGUGGAAGAGAGAAGAGAUCGUUUAGAGUGCGACAGACGACAAUGGCGUAAUAGGCGAUGCAGGUAUCCAGCAGGCUGCCAAUGCAACCCAUGGGCACCCCUUGGAAGGUGGUCUAUCCUCCAUUACCGCUUCGAGAACGGCCAGUGUUUUAUAGGGGGAUUCCCCGAAAACUGCAACGGAUUUCACUCAGCUGUCGCGUGCCGUGCAGCCUGCAUGCGGCGGAUGGGUUAG